UACGAAGGGGGCUAGCGUUGUUCGGAUUUACUGGGCGUAAAGCGCACGUAGGCGGAUCGAUCAGUCAGGGGUGAAAUCCCAGAGCUCAACUCUGGGACUGCCUUUGAUACUGUCGAUCUGGAGUAUGGAAGAGGUGAGUGGAAUUCCGAGUGUAGAGGUGAAAUUCGUAGAUAUUCGGAGGAACACCAGUGGCGAAGGCGGCUCACUGGUCCAUUACUGACGCUGAGGUGCGAAAGCGUGGGGAGCAAACAGG
rnacentral:rRNA from 1 species